AUUGAACGCUGGCGGCGUGCCUAACACAUGCAAGUCGAGCGGUAACAGGUGUAGCAAUACAUGCUGACGAGCGGCGAACGGGUGAGUAAUGCUUCGGAAUCUACCCAAUGGUGGGGAAUAACCAGCCGAAAGGUUGGCUAAUACCGCAUACGUCCCACGGGAGAAAGCAGGGGAUCGCAAGACCUUGCGCCAAUGGAUGAGCCGAAGUCGGAUUAGCUAGUUGGAGGGUAACGGCCUACCAAGGCGACGAUCCGUAGCUGGUCUGAGAGGACGACCAGCCACACUGGGACUGAGACACGGCCCAGACUCCUACGGGAGGCAGCAGUGGGGAAUAUUGGACAAUGGGGGAAACCCUGAUCCAGCGGCGCCGCGUGUGUGAAGAAGGCCUGCGGGGUUGUAAAGCACUUUUAGUUGGGGAUGAAAUGUUCAGGGUUAACACCUCUGGAUUUGUACCUAACCCACAGAAAAGACNCCGGCUAACUCUGUGCCAGCAGCCGCCGUAAC
rnacentral:rRNA from 1 species